rnacentral:tRNA from 1 species
GUCUUAAUAAUUUAAUUGAAAAUAUUGGUCUUGUAAACCAAAAACAAAAGCCCCCCUUUUUAGGACA